rnacentral:misc_RNA from 1 species
AGUUGAGUUGAGUUGAGUUGAGGGUAAUAUCUGCAAGUGCAGCAUAGGGGUUGUGUGGCUAAAAUUCAGAAUAUGUAGGGAAAGACAACCAACCAGGCAUCACGUUUGGAUUUUUCUAAAAUUGAGUUUGAGCAGCUGCUGAGCUCUUGAUAAUUGUUACCAACUAAGCCUAAAGUAUUAGGUAUUUAUGUAUGGCCCAUUUGCAGCUCCACUCUCAAUAGAGGAUUUGAAAAGCAGGACAAAUUUUGAGAUGAU